ensembl:lncRNA
CAGAAGUGAAGAACGGCAGCAGUGGCAAAUGCAAAGACCCCUCACUCUUAACACCUCUUUCUCAUGCUUAAGACUUGAAAAGCAUCCCUGCUGCUGCUCCAGAUGGGAGUGGCUUUUGAGGUUAUUUCCCUCCAAGUCUUCUGGAAAAGUGAAAGAUCUGUAAGUCAAGGUGAUGAGGAGGAGAGGGGUGUGAUGAAGGAACGUAGUGUUUGUGGAGGUCCUGGCCAAGGUACGGUGCUCCAGCAGUGGGAUGCAGCAGUGUGCUUAAUGAGGUAAACGAGUGAUCUCAGAGAGGACCGUAGCAGAGAUCUCCUUGGGUCUGGAAGACAAGAGCUAUCAUUGAAAGAUGUUUCUACUCCUUUUCUCUUUUCUUUUUUUUUUUUUUUUUUUGAUUUCUUUUUCCUCAAAACUCCUUUCAGAGUUGGAAAGGCUUGGAGUUGGGUAACUCAAACCAGAUAUGUGCACUUUAUAAAGUGUGUGUGUGUGUGUCUUUAGUGAAGUGUUGGCACUUUGACUGCCACCGAGCAGGCGGUGAUGCUGGG